rnacentral:rRNA from 1 species
GGCGCGCAGAGUCUGUAGCACCCACUGGAUCGGGGGUUAGGUAUCGUUGGUGUAGGGAGGGACGAGGAGGAGGAGGAGGAGGAGGGAGCAGACGGUGGCGUAGGGUGGGAGAGGAGGUAGGAGAAGACGAAGGAAGGAGGAGGGGCCUAGACGUGGGGUAUGCUCCUCAUUUUUACCGCCGCCGUCUCGUGCCCCAACCACUGUCGCCAACAUGCUCCACCAGGUGUCCGCUCCUUGCCGGCGGUUCGUAAGGAGGCCCGUGGCGUGGCCUCGGAGUCGCCGAUUCCGAUGUCACCGCGACGGUCAGGGAGGAGAAGGAGAGAGAGAGAGAGAGAGAGAGAGAGAGAGAGAGAGGGUACGGUGGCAAGGGGAGGGAGUAGGUAGCUGUGCCGGGUCAGGUGGAGUGGCUCUCGAGAGUCGUCAUCCCCCUUACCGUCGCUGCCACCGACGACCUGUCAUCCCCGGGCGACUCCACCAGGAAAGCUUCCUUCCCCCUCUCCUACGGCCACUGUUCCACUCGAAACGGAUGGGGGAGGGAGAAGAGAGAUAUACGGAAGAUAUUUUAUACAUAAGACGAAAUGAUAAAUCGUAUAAUGUAUAAAAUGAAAGUUUUUUCUACCUGAGAGAAUACAACUAGAACUCUCUAAAAAAAUUUAAAAAGAAUCUACAUGAAACUAGACGACACUUAGAACACCAGUGUUAGUUGUACAAAUAAAACCGAUUUAAUACUCAACAGGCUUAGGCUACAAUAGGCGUGUUGAUCCUCCCCCACCUCUACUUUACCCCGGUUUACUAGGGCGCUGUUGUUAUCAUCUAGACUUAAACACAACGAUCCCACGUCUGACUGGACAGAAGCUCCUUUUGGUACCUCUAAGUUCACGGUAAAAGAGGAUGGUUAAGGAAAAAGUCGUCGAAAGUCUCUACGGAGAAGUAAACAAUCUCUUUUUGUACCUCUACGUUUACGUAAAAAAGGACGGUUAAGGUAAAAGUCUUUGAAAAUUUCUACGUAGAAGUAAACAAUCUUUUAUGAAAAAACUUAAUACUCGAACCAUAAAGUUGUACCGUAUGGUUUACAUGAAAACUUAUAUUACAAUACAAAGAUGAACGUUUCAAAAAACUCACCAUUUAACAAAAAGUUUAAAGGUUCCUGUAUAAUUAAAUACACCAACGUCUCCUCAUAUAGUUCAAUAGUCGUCCCACGUAGUUGCCGAGCGUCGCCUCCUUCGAUGCCGCUGACCAUGACGACGUCGUUCCGCGAUCGAUCGAUCCACAUCGACUGUGUUAUUCAAACGUAAAGCGAAAUCUUAAGUUUCCUCUAGUAAACAAAAUAUCAGGAUUAUUCCAGUGCGGAAAAGGGAAAAAUAAAGAAACAGGGAGUUUAACCCCGAUGACUCACAAACACUACCUUUAAAUGCCCAGUCACAAGCCUAACCAAACACCCCUAAUGCCCAACUAUUCCUUAAGUACGAACUACCAGUACAUAAAACUAUAGCACUAAACACAACUGCAAGACGUAUACAAGUCCUUUCUUCUAUCAUCCUGUUUCGAUGUCCUGCUCAUACCACUUUUCUUAAUAAACGAAACAGUUACAUAUUCCCCUCAAUGCAGGUACCAUCUCCACGUCUAGUUCCUCCAGCCGUUUACCCUGCUCCAACCCACUGCACAUGUUCCCUCCUUUUUCCACAUCCAGGAACCAAAAAACCACUACCAUCACCGUAUGAAGGAAGCCACUUCUUUCCUUAGGGGUCGCGCAUGUUACUGCAAUAACAACGAUCGUCGUCCCCCACCUUCGAACCGUGUACAUACAGAGUUACAGAAUAAACAAUCACAACGGUCGAGACUCGUUACGUACGGCUCACCAACAACGUAUAUACAAUAACGAUGUAAUCGUUUAAACAAAAUCCACUCUCUUUUACAGAAAAACAAAGUAUGUAACAACAAAGUCAAUCAUCACUUAUGACUACUACGAGUACCCUUGAAACUUCUGUAACGACUUGAAAUAGAGUAGUAAAUUGUUGAAACUAAAGAUUAAUCGCGCUGCUAGAAGUGGUUAUAAAUACAGUUUUUCCUUUAAUCAACCUUAACCAAAUGACAGACUACUCUGAUUUAUAGGUGUAAUAGGUUUAGGGUUCCACAGCUCCAACUAAGGAUAAAAAGAAAUAAAGAAAAAGUAAAAGUAGAUUAGAAAUGACUGGUUAAAAAACAUACGUACAGUGAUUAAUAAAAAGGCGAACAAGUUAUGGAUUACGUGCAUGUAAUCGAAACUGAUAAACACGUAACAUCAAACAUCGGACUAUCAUCGAUACAUUUUUUUUAUGUAACAAAUAAGUCAAAACCAAAAAGUGAGUCUGUAUGUUACCAAUCAAAACAAUUAGGUAUGUAUCAGCAUACACAUCCAACUACUAUAGCAUACAAAGUAAGUUAUAGAACACGUUUCAAUGUACGUAUAAAAAGAAAGAAAUCCGGCAUGUGGGCAAACUAAAGACCUGGGUAAUAAAUUACCAAGAGAACGUGCACUACACUUCAAAUCGAUAACACUAGUUCCUUUAUUGUAUAUAGACACACCAAACAAGGACGACAACUAGCCGGUAACGACGUAAAUUUCAUACAACACGGGCCACGAUGAUUUACCAUAUAUUUUGGAUAUCAACAUGUAUUUUGCGGAACUAUACGUUUAUUCGGUCAAUUUUAUUUACCAAACGCGGUAGACCGUAAUGUACUGCCGUACGGUUUGUGAAACGGUGGAUCCUAUCAGAUAUAAACAUAAAGGAAGUUAAUAGAGUAUAAAGGUCAUUUUCUUGAGAAGCAAAACCCCAAAACCUUAUUAGAAAUCCUUCAACCACUGCUCAAUCAUCUUGGCUACCUUUACAGCGAAAGUAACCUGUUACCGUACGGUUUCUGCGGUGACGGACUACAUCAGAAACCUGAAUUCGAUAAAAUAUACAUGUUAUUGUUCUAAACAGCGAAGCCAAAAAAUCUUAUUAGAAACUAUUCAACCAAUUCUUAAUCUCGUUUUAAAUGCGAGUACUCAUCAUAAACAACAUGUUUGUAGGUCAAUUAAGAACUCUAUGUUAUCUGUGAUAUUAUCAUGAUGAAAUCAGUUUGUGUAAUAGGUGACUAACAACAUCACUUUACAGCGAGAUCGAUAAUUAAACGUCUUAGAACGUGUCGUUUGAUAUCCGUACACUAGAGAUACCACAAGGUCAUUUAUUUCUUUUGACCUUGUACACGGAAGUUUAAAAGAUAAAUAUAUGUUUUUGGUACGUAACCAUGUAUACUUGGUAUACUUAUCCUGACCUCUUCUAGAUAAAAACAGUACAAACACUCAAAAGACAAUAAAAGAGAGUCACACUUAUCCUAACUUCUUCUACCUGUAUCGGGAAAUCCAUUAGAGUGAAAUAAACUUGACGUUUGGCAUAUUGUUAUCAAGAUACCAUAUAAAAGUAAAUUUUUGUCAUACAAUAUUUCCCUUUCCUCUUUUAUCUUUGUUUUCUUUUUUUCUAGAUUCGAUUACCCCGUCUCGGGAAUAGGUUAAAGUCAAAACCCGUUGUACUCUUAGUAAAUUUUUAAAUAGGCUAUCGGACGAACUUGUUCCACCUUAAGAACAGAAACUAGAACACAACCUCAUCAACUUAUAGGAAAAAAUUAAGUUCGGAGGUUAAACUCUGAUAGUCGACCUACAAAGAUUUCUGGAACGGUAAAGUGAAACAGGACCUAAUUAUUGUUUAAUGUUUAAAUAAAUAAAUUUAUCCCGUCCAAUAAAUGCUUCCACGCGGUAAAGAUAACUGACCUAUUAAAUGUACAACGGUUGCUGAAUAACCACGUCGGACCAGUAUUAAUGAGCCUGUUAAAGGGUUGGGUUUAGGUCUUGGUGAAGUAGAAAUCUAGAAAUGAACGAACUACUUUAAGGAAUCUGUGAUUCUAGACGUGAAACAAAAAGAAACAAGAGGACGAGUGCCUAAUUGGUUACCGAUAUUAUGGGUCUCUUCGUAAUCCUUGACGAGACGUCACAGAAGAUCACAUACGCAUGUGUGUUAAGCGAAAGGAAAAGAAAAACGGGAAACAUAUCUACUACACCAGCUCAAUGCUUCGGAGAAGAACGUCACAACAGACGUUCCGGUUUCCCUUCAAUAAUUACGUAAACUCGACGAGAUAGACUAACAAGUAGAGGACUUGGAUAAAAUCAACUAUAUUUUCACAAGAGAUGAAGUUUUUAGGUGUUGUGCUCUAACACGGGGGAGAACGAGAUCCACGUACAACGACGGGAGGAAAGGGGAGACUAAACUGAACGAAAUGGAACACACUUCAAAAUAUGAAAGUUGAAAUGUUUCGAUAUAGUUCAAGUGAAAGUUGACAUGAACCGAUGUGGACAUUGUACUACGUAAAGAGAAAGUCAAAUAACUUAUGUAAAACUUCCUCACUUACGAGAUAAACCAUGUCAGGAUACUGAGUAAAUUGACACACAGUUAAACGAGUGUUUGGAGGAGUACAUAUUGUAUGUCACUCAUCAGACAGUGUAUAGUGUGUUGUAGAACUAGUAAAGUCGAUUAUUAUACAACAUUCAAAAAUCCGCAUAGUGACAAACGUCGAAAACCCAAGGAAGACACACAACCCUCUAUUACGAGAAUUAUUUGAAAUCGAAAGACGUUACGAUCCGGCCUGUUUAAGUCAUGAAUUUUAGAUCUGACAAGAAAGGUGAGACAUUGUUGAAGAUACGAACACGGUGGUACUAUAGUGAUGUUGUAAAGGGACCUUUUAAAAUAAUCAACGUGCAUUUGACUUAACUAAAUGGUCAUUACAAAAGACGUCUACUACAACACCUCCAACUAAGUUCUUAAACACACGAGUAAUCAAGUAAUGAAGUAAAUGGUAAUUGCCUAUGAUAAUCUGUUACCACAUAUUCCCGGGCAAGCCUUCACGAGACCGAGGCGCGAAGAGGCCUUCGCCCGCUCCUCGACCGGCUUGCGGCGUCGAAGGUCUUCGGACGAGGGCCUUAGGCGAGCCGGACGUCACGUUUUUUAUCUUCGCUGCGAGCGGGUCGAGGACCUUUUGCUCUUCGCCCUCAACGACCUAUAAUGUACCUUACGGGAGGGCUUCACGGAGUUCAGCUUCGCAAAAGGAGAGCGAUGUCCCACGCCGCCUGGUAAAAAGAGCGAUGUCUCGUGCCGCUUCACAACGUGGACUGAGACAAAACGUCCCUUUAUACUUACUUCACUAUCAUGAACGUUUGUACCUGAGGAGAAACGACCUGCUCCUAUUGAUUUUAUGAUUAGAUCGUCCGUCAUUAAUGUACCGACUAGAGUCAAAACAUGUACAAUCCACUCGUAAUAGUCAAGAUGAAGGGUAAUCUCUCACAUAAAAUCACGACGCCUAACAAAGAUAAAAUCCCGUUCUUCGGUUUAGUCCAACAAGUAACAUUUAGAACUUUUUGAAGAAUAAAUAACAGUGAAGGUAGAUACAAUAUCUGAAAACAAGG